UAUGUGAAUGUUCCUUGUAAGUAUUUAUUUUUAUUUUCUCUAGCAGAAGCUGACAAAUAAAGCAUCUCCUGCCCUUCAAAACUUUUGCAGUCUGUGCAGAGAUUCUGCAAGCGAGGGCUUUGCUUAGUACACUUAAUUAGAAUUUGCUUAUUAUAACAGUGGAAAAUACAAGCUGGUUUGACUCUGGGAAUUAAAUUGGCUGCAUUCUAUUUUUGGUUACCAUCAGUUGCUUCCUAGUAUUGGCAAAGAUGCUCAUGAAAUCUGGAUAUGUCUGGAGCAGGAAAGGUUAGUAGAUUUAACAGGGAGGCAUUAAAAGUUGAUUAAAAGAGCAGUUGUAGAAGGAUCUCAGUYAGGUGAAUCUCUGUUAGACAGGUUUUUGUGGGAACGAGGGCAUGAAUUGCUGUUACUGAGCAACCCAGACCACAAGAUAGAGCCGGGUGAGAUAGAAGAGGAUGGGAAAGAAGAGGACGUGACUACAGCAGUGUAACAUGUACCUCGCACUGACCAUGAAGAAGAAACAUAGUAAGAAGCAAGAACAARGAGCAAUUGARRAACAAUAGGACGAUUGAAGAAAGUGCAAAAUGCUGAGAACGUUGAUUUAAAACUGCAAGGCAUACAAAAACACGCUUUUGCAAAUAUACCAAUCAUAUGCUGAAAUGUAAUAGACAGACUGCUAAAUUAACCAAUGAAUAAUUGCUAAUCAUAUAGAGAGGCUGGCUUAUGAAAGUAGAUAAAAAGGAGCUUGUAUUAGAAAUAAACGGAUCGUGCUCAUCAUAUUGGUGUCUGCGUGACCUGGUGUCCCCGUCGCCCAGAAAGCAGUAACUUGGACUUCAAUGUGUAGCAUAAUUUCAGCAUUGCUCCAGGGGCACAGCAAUUUAUCAUCCUCCCAAAGCCAAAGCCCUUCUCAGUAUGGAGAAAAGAGCUGAAGCUCCAUGGCCGAGGAUCCUUGGGAUGCAAGAGUGCUCAGUAAACUUAGUUGUGGGCAUCCUGUACCUGCAUUCCAGCACUCAUAACUCCUACAUACAAACUGCAGCUUCCUGCAGUGUUUGUGCAUGUGCAGCACCUCUGCGUUUGGACAGAUCAAAGACUGGUCACUGUGCAGCAGUCUGCUUUGCAGAUGGCCACAAGCACUUUUAGGUUUUAUCUCAAAUUAACUUAGUAAACUCAGCAACGCGUGGGCUUUUCACAGCACCUUAGGCAGACUGAAGUGGAAUUGAUGAAUAAUCAGUGAUGCAACAGCUGUUAUCCAGAGAUAACAGAGGUCUUCAGGCUGCAGAUGUGCAUGGGGUCAAGGGAGACAAUGUUGUACAUGAAAAAGACAUACAAUGGAGUUCUGUGUAUUUUCUUCAGAUUUCAAGAACAAAGAAGCAACGAUCUUUUGUCUGCUGCUGCCAUUCCCUGCUUCACCAUUAAGGUCGUUUUCUUUUCUUUUUUUUUUUUUUUUCCUUAAUGGGAGGUAUUUUGAAAUAGACCUCUGUCAAUCAUGCCCUGAAAAAAAUGAGCCCAUCCAUGAGCAGAAGCCUUUUAAAAAGUUGAAAAAUGCUGAACGUCAAAAUGUGUAGCAAUAAGUUAACAUAACACUUUGGAUACAUGUAAUUUGGAUAUUUAUUUCAAAGACACGUUCUUUUUUAAUCACUCAGUAUGCCAAGUUUCAAAGGAAAAUGAAAAAUCGAAGAAAACAAGACUUGCGCUCAGUAAAGAUCUUUCCAGCCUCCAACAGUGGUCAAGAGAACUGUGUAAGGACAGGGCUAGCAAAGAGAAACCAUUCCUUCAGUGUAUCUUCCUGGCAUUCUGUGAUUAAAGAAUUUCUGAGUUCAUGUUGUAUCCAGAUCUUUGUGUUGAAUUGCAUUUAUAAACCAUUCUUGUCUAGCUUUGUUUCUUUGUGUUUAUAAUUGAUACUAUACAGGAAAAGAUGCUGCCUCUCUUCUGAUCUUGCCGUUCAUUGUUUCAGGUGAAGCCCAUUAAUAUUUGUAUUGUGAGAAGUGGUGAAAAUCUUUUCCCUUGCUGCCUCUCUAUAUCUGUCACAAUGUUAUAUACAUCACUGCUGUUGCUCAGUUAGAGUCUGUCUGCUUAGUCGCACUCAAAAAUCACCUCUGCUUUUAAGCACAUUUGUGCAAUAUUUCACCGGGCUUCCAGCGCAGCUGGGGAAGGAAGCGCAAGACAAACCUUGAGCUGUGC